rnacentral:rRNA from 1 species
AAUGAACGCUGGCGGCGUGGUUAAGACAUGCAAGUCGAACGGUGUUUAUGGUGUAGCAAUACAACAUAAACGCAGUGGCAGACGGGUGCGUAACACGUAAGCAAUCUACCCUCGUGUGGGGAAUAACCUGUCGAAAGACGGGCUAAUGCCGCAUACGGUUGCCCUCCGCAUGGAGGGCAUACUAAAAUCCGGGACCGCAAGGCCGGAUGCAUGAGGAGGAGCUUGCGGCCUAUCAGCUAGUUGGCGGGGUAACGGCCCACCAAGGCUAAGACGGGUAGCUGGUCUGAGAGGACGACCAGCCACACUGGAACUGAGACACGGUCCAGACACCUACGGGUGGUAGCAGUUUCGAAUUAUUCACAAUGGGCGAAAGCCUGAUGGUGCGACGCCGCGUGAGGGAUGAAGGUCUUCGGAUUGUAAACCUCUGUCACCGGGGAAGAAUGGCUAUGACCUAACACGUCAUGGAUUGACUUAACCCGGAGAGGAAGCAGUGGCUAACUCUGUGCCAGCCGCCGCAGUAACAC